ensembl:lncRNA FCGR1BP Fc gamma receptor Ib, pseudogene
AGAUUUCACUACUCCCACCAGCUUGGAGACAACAUGUGGUUCUUGACAACUCUGCUCCUUUGGGUUCCAGUUGAUGGGCAAGUGGUAGACACCACAAAGGCAGUGAUCACUUUGCAGCCUCCAUGGGUCAGCGUGUUCCAAGAGGAAACCAUAACCUUGCACUGUGAGGUGCUCCAUCUGCCUGGGAGCAGCUCCACACAGUGGUUUCUCAAUGGCACAGCCACUCAGACCUCGACCCCCAGCUACAGAAUCACCUCUGCCAGUGUCAAUGACAGUGGUGAAUACAGGUGCCAGAGAGGUCUCUCAGGGCGAAGUGACCCCAUACAGCUGGAAAUCCACAGAGGCUGGCUACUACUGCAGGUCUCCAGCAGAGUCUUCAUGGAAGGAGAACCUCUGGCCUUGAGGUGUCAUGCGUGGAAGGAUAAGCUGGUGUACAAUGUGCUUUACUAUCGAAAUGGCAAAGCCUUUAAGUUUUUCCACUGGAAUUCUAACCUCACCAUUCUGAAAACCAACAUAAGUCACAAUGGCACCUACCAUUGCUCAGGCAUGGGAAAGCAUCGCUACACAUCAGCAGGAAUAUCACAAUACACUGUGAAAGGUAUUGUAUUGGAAUAGUCAUAGAACUGAUAGUCCCUCCCCCUGAGGGACCAUCAUAAAUAUUCUAAACUCCUCACUUUAAUUUACAAGUGAAGAAACUGGGCUCCAGAGAGGUAAACUGCAUUACUAAAGGCCACACCAUGACCAGUAGCUGGAACCAGAACUGAGGUCUCUGGGUCCUAGUCCAAUACUCUUUCCAGUGUACCGCAACCCCCAUCAAUAAUCACAGGAGCUAAUGUCAAUGUCAGGGCAUAAUGGUGAUCCAUUUCAUCCAUCAUUAUUUUAGUUGUAAAGAAUACAGACUCACUCUAGGUAGAUAGGAGAGUUAGAAAAUAAUACCAUGGAAUCUCAUGGAAGCCCCAUAGAAAGAGAAACCUGGAAAACAUGAGGAACGGGCUAUACUGUCCAUCUACCUCUCAGGGACAAAGCAGCCUCUGUGGUGCCACUUCUUCCUGAGCAUCUGCAGGCUAAGCAGUUUGCAUAUGGCCUUGUUCUGACCCUUUCACGGCCUUUCCUCUUAAUACAAUCACUAGCAACCUUUCUCUGUCUGAG